rnacentral:lncRNA from 1 species
GGGCUGAAAGGAAGGGGUUGAAAACAAAGCCAUUGACAGUGCCCUUUUAAACUGCAGAGAGAGCGUCCGCCCCCUCCUGCCAAGCCACCCCCUGAUGAAGAGGAGGAGCAUGUGGAGAAGAAGCUAGGUCGUAGUGCUUCAUGUGAGGCCUCUGUGGUGCGGAGGAAGAGCAGGGGAAGUGCAGCCGAGGAAGAGGAGGAGCAUCCUUAUGAGCUGUUGCUUACCGCAGAAACUAAAAAGCCGCUUGCAGUGGAUAGAAAAACAAAAGGGGAAUUGCCAUCUUCAGGUGCUGUCAGCAGUAACCAGCUUCAGGCCAAACCCCGAAAAGGCACGUCUUCCCAAGAUGGUCAAUUGCCAUUGAAUCGCCAAGGUUCUUCUGACCUCUCUUCUAGCCAUUCCGAGCAAU